GGGGAGGGGCCGGUGAGGAGUGGGGGGAGGGGCGGGGUGGCCGGCUGGGGGGCUGUUUCCUUGGCCCCCCCACUCCUGGGGAACAGUUGGGAGGGAGGAUGUGGGGACAAGGGUCAGGGGUCAGCCUUAGGGGAAGACUGGGCUGGGUCAGGGGCAGCAGCUCCCCCUCCUCCCUUGGCCCCUGGGGGGCGCCAGCAAGUCAGGUGGGCCAUCCCCGCUCCCCUGGGCUCGGCUGGGCCUCCUCGCCCUAGGCCCCGGCCCGCGGCUCUCCCAGCUCGGGGGCAAACGGGCCGUGUCCGAGGCCCUUCCUCUAGGAGGGUCAGAGCCUCGCCUCCGGGGCCACCCGGUCCGCUCUCCCCCACGCUGGUGCUCCGCUCGCCGGCCCAGGCCCGGCGCCCCUCCCCGAGCCUCCGGCCCGAUGGAAGGAGACCGGGGCCACCGCCCCCCAGCCGUGGGGUCAGAGCCGGGCCUCGCACCCAGAACCGGCACCUCUCCGGGAGGUUCCCCAUCCAGCUUGGAGGGAACCACCCGGGCUGAGAUCACGUGACUCCUGCCCUCGUACUGUGCCCUUCCCGCAAGGCCAGGCUGGGUUCCAGACCACGGCCCUAAGGCUCAACAACCCUUUUGUGAGGAUGUUCGCCAGAAAGCAAGCUGGAACUAGGGAGGACUCUGAAUUUGGGGAAGAUUCUCAGAGAGGACUCUGGAUUUAGGGAGGACUCUGAAUCUGGGGAAGACUCCUAAGGAGAAUUCUGGAUGCAGAGAGGAUUCUGGCUCAAACUUUGCCUCUGGACUGUCGACCUAAGAGCUGCCCCAGCCCAGAACCGCCAAACGCAGCCGCCGCGUCACAGGGCCGGUGCUCCCCGGGUGGAGGCCCAGCCUCCCUGUCGGCCUCUCCGAGGGCCGCGGCCGUGCCAGCGCACCAGCGAGUGUCAUCGGGUUCAUGAUGUCGUAGCCAGGAGGCGUUGGCCGGGGCUGGGCCGUGCCGGGCUCAGCGUCCGGUCUGGCCUCUGACCCGUGGUCACUGUGGGAGCCCUGCAGUCUACUCUCGGGCCGGCUUCAAAGGGUCACAGACUGACCCCUCCCCAAGCAGCGGGUCUCAGGCAGGGGAGGGCAACGGGCAUUUCUUGCUGCCCCCGUGCCAGGCCCCGGGCCCGGCUCCACAUCUGACCCAUCAGACUGAUUUGGGUCCAUUCUCAGCCCUUCCGCCGGGCAUCUAGCCCCUCUUGCCGCUCUCGCCAUCGCCCCCUUGUCGCCGGCACUCUCUGCUCCGAUUUGCCGAACCCCUGGCAUCUCCCAGCUCCGGGCCUUUGCCUGGGCCGGGCCUGGGGCCAGGCGCGCUCUCUCCUCACCUCCGCCCCUGGCGUGUCCCCUCUGGAGGCCUUUCUCGGGCCUUCCGGGUCAGGCCCUUUCUCAGACCUUUCAUCUACUCUUUGUCACGGUUGUUGCCGAGCGAGCCCUCGGGGAGGACUGCUUUCUGCCUUUUUUGGAGCAUACAGUAAAUGCUUAAUAAAUGCUCACUGACUGUC